UUGUAGGCCAGUUGGUGGCGGAGGGGCUGUGGUCCAAUCGGCUGCCCUCCUCUCACCUCCCCCCCUCAGGAGCCCCUGUGACACGGCCACAGUUCCAUGAUGAGAGCAUGGGGUUCUAAUCUCCAAGUCACUCCCAGUGCUCAGUUGCCUGAGAGUAGGACUGUAUUUGAGAUAUGGAAACUCCUAUCUUAUAUCUAAAAAGCAUUGUUGCUACCUGGUUGAGCUCCAGUUCUGCUUCCUGGGUGAUUGGUACCAUCCUCCGCAUCCUGUAUGGACUGGGGCUCUUCCUCCUGUUCUUUCCCUCCCCCAAAAGGAAUCUGCCCUUACAACUAACUUACAAAAGGAGAAACGUCAGGAAGGUAAGAAAUCCUGGACCGAGACCCACCAGAAGAUGAGUCUCUCUUCUUUUUCACUGUGAUUUCCACUUCUCUGAAUCAACUAGAGGGACUCCAGGGAUGGGAAAGAAUAGAACAUCAUCCUUCUAGAGACAAGCCAGGUUGGGUGGGCAGGGGUGAGAGUGGGCACAAGGAUUUCGAUCCAAAGCUCUCCAAGCAGGAGUCCCGGUGUGGUAGAGGGCUCCAGGGAAAGUCCCCAGGCCAGUGACCAGUGGCCAUGGACGGGAUGCUGAGUGGGAUCUGUGGGAAGACAGGCCCUGAGCACUGGUUCCCCAGCCACCUUCCCGGGGCAGGUGUCUCAGGCGGGCCUUUUCUCUGUCGUGGUUGAUCUGAGGGCAGAGCUGAGCCCCCGAGAGCCUCUGGGCAGGACCUGGAGUCGGGCUGUAGCCUCAGGAAGCAAAGUCCUCCCUGAGAAAGCUCACAAGAUUCUGUACAUCUGAGAAUGUGUGCGUUUCUUGAGCAGAGGAACAGUGACAGAAGAUGCAUGCUGGUCCCACAUGGGGACCUUCUUACGAUCCUCAAAGAAGGAAGACAGCAAAUGUCCAUUUUGUGUUCAAUUAUCCACUUCAAACGUCAAGUGGAGCCGAGAGGGAGGAGCAGCAGGAGCAGGAAGAAAAGGGGAGCUUGCAAAGCUUGCAGAGCUGGCCGGAAGGACCUGGCAGAAGUGGGGGGCCUGAUGUCCCUUUCGCAAAGCUCCCCAGGGAGGCUGUCUUGUAAGGGAUGCUUCCAUCGCUUGUCAUCUCAAGACUCCCCUGGGGAGGCAUGCAAGACAGCAUCUGCUAGAGUCCGCCAGCCAUGCGGGAAGCCUGUGGAAGGUGCUCCUCUCACCAUGACCCCAGCACUUUCCCUGGCUCUUCUCACCCAGCGUACUCUACCUUUGGCCUCCACUCUGCCAGCAGAACCUCCAUCGGCCUUGACCAGAACUCCACUAGGCCCUGUUGCCACGAGCUCAGCUCCAGGUCACUCCUGUUGGCCAUUUCCCAACUCAGGCCACGGCCGCGUGAGCUGUCGCAUUGAGUUCCUCUCCAGGUGGAACAUAAUCAAGGUCUUGCUCUUCCCUGUGUCAUCACACUUCGAGUCCCAGCAAGGGCACCUGUCCUGCCACUGACCAGUGGCCUCAUUCUGGGGAGGCCCCACAAAUAGGGAGGGAGAGACUGAUAGCCCCUCAGUUGCCAACCCUGAUGUCCAGAAGCUGCUCGAGACAGAAAUCACGGAAAGAAUACAAACGGAGGUCUGGGAAAAAGAACAAGAUGAUCCACACACUCCUCAGAUGCUCGAAGCACACACUAUCAUGUCUGGGCUGAAUUCACGCUGGGGCCUACCCCUCCUGUCUUUGGGGCCUGCAGAUCUGAAAGCAUGUGAGGCUCAACACUCGGCCCUUCCACGGUCCCCUUUUCCCCCCGCAGCCACCUGUGAUUCUGGGGCCCCCUCGAAAGCUGACUUUGCACACUUCAUGGGAAAACCUCUUGAGCCUCCUCCAGGUGACAAAGUCUUAACUUUGACAACAAAAGCAUCAGUUCCCAGCCUGGCCCAUCCCCUCCCUGCUCCCUCACCUGUGUGUGAGGAAAAUCAGAAGGCCCUGGGAGGGACCCUACCUGGCGAUGGCAGUGGGCCCUCAGAAGCCUCUCUCUUGGGACAGGAGGGCUGGCCGCCUUCUCCAACCUUCCCAUUCAGCCUCUCAGAGAGAAAAGGGCAGAGUGGGACCUUCGUGGGGGCCGAGCAAGGCCGUUGAGAGCUGACUUCAGGGUCAGCAGUGGCCAGGAAUGAGCCUCGGGAGGAGAGUAGGGGUGGGGCCUCACCAGAGCCCUGCCAUGGGGUGGCAACUCUGGAGGGGGAGUCAGGGUCCCAGUCUUGGAGCCAGGUCGGGGGAAUAGGAGACACCCUAGGGACCAAACCCCUCAAGCCCCUGCCUGAAAAGGAAGAGGUUUUUCAUGACAGCCCUUUCAGAAAAAUGUUGAGACGCCUCCUGCCCUGCCUGAGGCCCAACAAGGAUGAAGCACCAGAGGAUCCCCUUGCAAAGGCAAGCCCGCAUCAGCCACCGCUCAGAGCCGGGCACGGGUCACACACAGCUCGGCGUUGGAUGGCAGGGCUGUUCAGGAACCAUCGACAGUGACAUCCUUUGCAUCCUGGGAGAGAAACUGAGGCUUGCCGAGAACUUUUGGCCUCCCAGUUGAAGCAUCAUAAAAACCAUUUCAGGCCUGGGAAGCUGGACAUACCUGUUACCACGACGUUCCCUCCUCCCCAGAGCAGAGAAGAACAAUGACAGAGGACAGUCCCCAACCUACCUCCAGGAACCACAACUGUCCGACUACGAGGGAAUGGAUCAGAAUAGGCAUGGCAACUGGACCUUGCCAUCCAGGCAGCCGCGGUCCCCAGCCAAACCCUGCCAGCCUGUGCUAAGGGUGGCAGCUGCCUCAGCCAAUCCAUUACCCGCCAUGCUGUCCUCAGAUAUGUGUCUCCUGGGAUGAGUAGACUGUGUCUGACACACCUUUCCUCAUAGGAACGCUUAUCUCCCCAAAUGGGGAAGUGGAGGAACAGAAAACCUGGUUUUUCUCCUUAUCCCACCCUCUGUGCUAACGGUGUCUUCCUACCCCAGUUUUCCCCAAAUACGCUUUUUUUCUCCUUAGAGGUUGUGGCUUCUGUUUGUGCCCUGCUAGUGGCAAAAACGGGGUCAGGCUCCGCCCUUCCUGAGUGUCUGCUUUGGCUUCCAGAAGAGACAGGGCCAUGGGGGGAGGCUGACUGCAGAGUGGCUCACCUGACCUCUCCCCAACUCCCCCAUUGCACCUGAAGUUCCCAUCACACCGUCCUUACAAAAACAAAUGGAAGCUUUGGGCUAUUUGCAGAUGAGCAAAACCUCUAAGGCCCCAGCCCAGGAUGGGCCCCGUCUGUCCUCUCCUGCAUUCUCUGGCCCUUGAACUUGUGGGGCUGUAGGGAGGGGGUUUGCAGAGGAUCCAGGAAGUGUAGAGACAGGUUCACAGGUCACAGAGUGGGAAGGGGAGUGUGGGGCAGUGCUGGCCCUGAGUCCGGGGGGCGAGGAAGCUUGCCCUGCACCCCAAGCUCUUGGUGGGAAUAGAUGACGCUGCCCCGGGAGCUUCUUCUCUCCCUGAUGAAGCUGCCAUGGAGAUGGGCCUGCGCAUCCCUCUUGGCCCAGCGUCACCGUCCCUCUGUCCUUGUCACAGUCUGGAG
rnacentral:lncRNA from 1 species